rnacentral:rRNA from 1 species
AGCGAACGCUGGCGGCAGGCUUAACACAUGCAAGUCGAACGGGCGUAGCAAUACGUCAGUGGCAGACGGGUGAGUAACGCGUGGGAACAUACCUUUUGGUUCGGAACAACACAGGGAAACUUGUGCUAAUACCGGAUAAGCCCUUACGGGGAAAGAUUUAUCGCCGAAAGAUUGGCCCGCGUCUGAUUAGCUAGUUGGUGAGGUAACGGCUCACCAAGGCGACGAUCAGUAGCUGGUCUGAGAGGAUGAUCAGCCACAUUGGGACUGAGACACGGCCCAAACUCCUACGGGAGGCAGCAGUGGGGAAUAUUGGACAAUGGGGGAAACCCUGAUCCAGCCAUGCCGCGUGAGUGAUGAAGGCCCUAGGGUUGUAAAGCUCUUUUGUGCGGGAAGAUAAUGACGGUACCGCAAGAAUAAGCCCCGGCUAACUUCGUG